rnacentral:sRNA from 1 species
AGCUGGAGGAGAAGAUUUCUUACUUCUGUGACACAAUUAAAAUGAAUAGGUGCCCACUCUGAAGUGUAUUCUGCAACAGUAGAAAAGGGGAUCAAGGAGAAAUUUCAAUUAAUGAAAAAUAUGCUUUCGGAAUUUUUUUUUUUGACAGAUCGCUUUAAAUAUCAUAUCGUUAAGCAGAUCUUCUCUGGAGGAGACCAGACUUUUGUACUUUGCUCCAAAUACGAGAAUUGAUGAACAUUUUAAAACGAGUCCCAAAAUCCCUGGGAUUGACCUGAACUCAACUAGGGUGUUAUUUGAGAAGUUAAUGAACUCUCAGCACUCCAUGAUUCUAGAACAGAUAACUGGUGGUCUCAGGUAUGCCCGAAAUAUUUCAUGAAGCUGGUAAACCUCUAUAAAGGUGCAGUCCUUUAUCUACUGAGGGGAAGAAAGACAUUCUUAAUUCCCGUACUGUUUAACAAUUAUAUCACAGCAGCUCUCAAACUCUUGGAGAAGUUAUAUAAGGUAAAUCUUAAAGUGAAGCAUGUGGAAUAUGAUACAUUUUACAUUCCUGAGAUUUCCAAUCUCG